rnacentral:rRNA from 1 species
GACGAACGCUGGCGGCGUGCUUAACACAUGCAAGUCGAACGGAAAGGCCCUGCUUUUGUGGGGUGCUCGAGUGGCGAACGGGUGAGUAACACGUGAGUAACCUGCACUUGACUUUGGGAUAACUUCAGGGAACUGGGGCUCAUACCGGAUAGGAGCUCCUGCUGCAUGGUGGGGGUUGGAAAGUUUCGGCGGUUGGGGAUGGACUCGCGGCUUAUCAGCUUGUUGGUGGGGUAGUGGCUUACCAAGGCUUUGAAGGGUAGCCGGCCUGAGAGGGUGAACGGCGACAAGGGGACUGAGAUACGGCGCAGAAGCCUACGGGAGGCAGCAGUGGGGAAUAUGACACAAUGGGCGGAAGCCUGAGGCAGCAACGCCGCGAGCGUGAUGACGGCCUUCGGGUUGUAAACCGCUGUGGCCGGUGACGAAGCGGGAGUGACGGUAAUGGGUAAAGAAGCACCGGCUAACUACGUG